rnacentral:rRNA from 1 species
UACGUAGGGGGCUAGCGUUGUCCGGAAUCAUUGGGCGUAAAGCGCGUGUAGGCGGCUCGGUAAGUCUGCUGUGAAAGUCCAGGGCUCAACCCUGGGAUGCCGGUGGAUACUGUCGAGCUCGAGUCCGGAAGAGGCGAGUGGAAUUCCUGGUGUAGCGGUGAAAUGCGCAGAUAUCAGGAGGAACACCUAUGGCGAAGGCAGCUCUCUGGUACGUGACUGACGCUGAGACGCGAAAGCGUGGGGAGCAAACAGG